rnacentral:rRNA from 1 species
GUUUGAUCCUGGCUCAGAGCGAACGCUGGCGGCAGGCUUAACACAUGCAAGUCGAACGCCCCGCAAGGGGAGUGGCAGACGGGUGAGUAACGCGUGGGAACGUGCCUUUCGGUUCGGAAUAAUCCAGGGAAACUUGGACUAAUACCGGAUACGCCCUUCGGGGGAAAGAUUUAUCGCCGAAAGAUCGGCCCGCGUCUGAUUAGCUAGUUGGUGAGGUAAAGGCUCACCAAGGCGACGAUCAGUAGCUGGUCUGAGAGGAUGAUCAGCCACACUGGGACUGAGACACG